CAAUAGCGUAUAUUUAAGUUGUUGCAGUUAAAAAGCUCGUAGUUGGAUUUCGGGUGGGUCGCAGCGGUCUCGCAUUGCGUUUGUACUGCUGCAGCCCUCCUUCUUGCCGGGGGCGGCCUCUCGGACUUCACUGUCUGGGGGUCAGAAUCGGCGAUGUUACUUUGAGUAAAUUAGAGUGUUCAAAGCAAGCUUACGCUCUGAAUAUAAUAGCAUGGGAUAACACGACAGGACUCUGGCCUAUCGUGUUGGUCUAUAGGACCAGAGUAAUGAUUAAGAGGGACAGUCGGGGGCAUUCGUAUUCCGUUGUCAGAGGUGAAAUUCUUGGAUUUACGGAAGACGAACAUCUGCGAAAGCAUUUGCCAAGGAUGUUUUCAUUGA
rnacentral:rRNA from 1 species